CCUUCCGAGUCUCCCACAUCGGAGCACCUGAGACUUCUAGGAGACAUUUUAGUUCUAAACUAGCUCACCUAUGUGCUCUGACCCUAGGAUUCCUAUGGAAUCCAAUAUUAAAACCCCUAUAUUAUAAUAUUUCACAAGUUAGUAACUUCUAUCAUCCAUUCAUUUUCUAAUAUUAAUUAAUGAAUAUGACAACAGCUUGACAAAUGACUAAUCACUUACUGGGAGUAAAAGGAUUACCAGCUGCCACACAGUCUUCAUCAGCAGGAGUGGAUCACUCACUUACUGCUUUAUACCCAUGGAAAGACAUUCUACCUUCAGAAAAAAGAAAGGAAGCUGCAUUAAUUAACCAGAAAGCAAAAAUCCAGUUUAGUUCCGUUUUUGUGCUUAUGCUUUCUCCAGUACAGCCUAUGAAUCCAUUCU
rnacentral:lncRNA from 1 species